CAACAGCACAACGAACAACACCUUUUUUUUUUCAGACGACUUUCGAUCCUUCCGUCCUUAUCCUCUAGUUACAGCACAUCGAGGUGGAGAGGAGACGAUUGGCUUCUCGGCGUCGAUUCCGCCGGCGCCUCCUCGCCUCCGGCAGCCGUUCCGGCGCUGGAGAUGGGGAGGAGCUGCGGGGUCGACGGCCGAGGUAAUCCUAUUAUUUUAGGGUUUGCUAGGUUAAAGUUAGUAUCCUUCGUUUUGGUGCUGUCGAUGCGAAGUCUAGUUUCCCUCCAUGGUGAUGUGGAUGAAGGCGACGGAGGUGGCGGCUUCUUCGGUUGGAGAUCGAAGCUUUCGAUGUGCCAAUCAUUGCGGCAUCAAAAAACUUUAAAGCUUCUUCGUCGAGAUGGGGACCGGUUUCAAGCUGCAAGCUCGUCGUGUUCAUCUGUCAGCAGAGGUGGCUCGAUGAGUGGUGGCUCCGAUCGUCGUUGAUGAAGAUGACUAGGUGGAGCUUACAAGGACCUACAUAUAUUUUUAAUUUUACUAGGGGACGUCUUUGUAAGCAAUGGAAUGUAGCUUGUUAUAUAAAUAAAUGAAAUACAACCUGGUUUCUAAAAAAACA